UACGGAGGGUGCGAGCGUUAAUCGGAAUUACUGGGCGUAAAGGGUUCGUAGGUGGUUUGAUAAGUUAUCUGUGAAAGCCCUGGGCUUAACCUGGGAAGGCCAGAUAAGACUGUUAGGCUAGAGUAUGGGAGGGGGUAGUGGAAUUUCCGGUGUAGCGGUGAAAUGCGUAGAGAUCGGAAGGAACACCGGUGGCGAAGGCGGCUACCUGGCCUAAUACUGACACUGAAGGACGAAAAGCGUGGGGAGCAAACAGG
rnacentral:rRNA from 1 species